rnacentral:rRNA from 1 species
GAUGAACGCUGGCGGCGUGCCUAAUACAUGCAAGUCGAGCGAACGGACGAGAAGCCUGCUUCUCUGAUGUUAGCGGCGGACGGGUGAGUAACACGUGGAUAACCUACCUAUAAGACUGGGAUAACUUCGGGAAACCGUAGCUAAUACCGGAUAAUAUUUUGAACCGCAUGGUUCAAAAGUGACAGACGGUCUUGCUGUCACUUAUAGAUGGAUCCGCGCUGCAUUAGCUAGUUGGUAAGGUAACGGCUUACCAAGGCAACGAUGCAUAGCCGACCUGAGAGGGUGAUCGGCCACACUGGAACUGAGACACGGUCCAGACUCCUACGGGAGGCAGCAGUAGGGAAUCUUCCGCAAUGGGCGAAAGCCUGACGGAGCAACGCCGCGUGAGUGAUGAAGGUCUUCGGAUCGUAAAACUCUGUUAUUAGGGAAGAACAUAUGUGUAAGUAACUGUGCACAUCUUGACGGUACCUAAUCAGAAAGCCACGGCUAACUACGUG